rnacentral:rRNA from 2 species
AACGCUGGCGGCGUGCCUAAUACAUGCAAGUCGAACGAACUCUGGUAUUGAUUGGUGCUUGCAUCAUGAUUUACAUUUGAGUGAGUGGCGAACUGGUGAGUAACACGUGGGAAACCUGCCCAGAAGCGGGGGAUAACACCUGGAAACAGAUGCUAAUACCGCAUAACAACUUGGACCGCAUGGUCCGAGUUUGAAAGAUGGCUUCGGCUAUCACUUUUGGAUGGUCCCGCGGCGUAUUAGCUAGAUGGUGGGGUAACGGCUCACCAUGGCAAUGAUACGUAGCCGACCUGAGAGGGUAAUCGGCCACAUUGGGACUGAGACACGGCCCAAACUCCUACGGGAGGCAGCAGUAGGGAAUCUUCCACAAUGGACGAAAGUCUGAUGGAGCAACGCCGCGUGAGUGAAGAAGGGUUUCGGCUCGUAAAACUCUGUUGUUAAAGAAGAACAUAUCUGAGAGUAACUGUUCAGGUAUUGACGGUAUUUAACCAGAAAGCCACGGCUAACUACGUGCCAGCAGCCGCGGUAAUACGUAGGUGGCAAGCGUUGUCCGGAUUUAUUGGGCGUAAAGCGAGCGCAGGCGGUUUUUUAAGUCUGAUGUGAAAGCCUUCGGCUCAACCGAAGAAGUGCAUCGGAAACUGGGAAACUUGAGUGCAGAAGAGGACAGUGGAACUCCAUGUGUAGCGGUGAAAUGCGUAGAUAUAUGGAAGAACACCAGUGGCGAAGGCGGCUGUCUGGUCUGUAACUGACGCUGAGGCUCGAAAGUAUGGGUAGCAAACAGGAUUAGAUACCCUGGUAGUCCAUACCGUAAACGAUGAAUGCUAAGUGUUGGAGGGUUUCCGCCCUUCAGUGCUGCAGCUAACGCAUUAAGCAUUCCGCCUGGGGAGUACGGCCGCAAGGCUGAAACUCAAAGGAAUUGACGGGGGCCCGCACAAGCGGUGGAGCAUGUGGUUUAAUUCGAAGCUACGCGAAGAACCUUACCAGGUCUUGACAUACUAUGCAAAUCUAAGAGAUUAGACGUUCCCUUCGGGGACAUGGAUACAGGUGGUGCAUGGUUGUCGUCAGCUCGUGUCGUGAGAUGUUGGGUUAAGUCCCGCAACGAGCGCAACCCUUAUUAUCAGUUGCCAGCAUUAAGUUGGGCACUCUGGUGAGACUGCCGGUGACAAACCGGAGGAAGGUGGGGAUGACGUCAAAUCAUCAUGCCCCUUAUGACCUGGGCUACACACGUGCUACAAUGGAUGGUACAACGAGUUGCGAACUCGCGAGAGUAAGCUAAUCUCUUAAAGCCAUUCUCAGUUCGGAUUGUAGGCUGCAACUCGCCUACAUGAAGUCGGAAUCGCUAGUAAUCGCGGAUCAGCAUGCCGCGGUGAAUACGUUCCCGGGCCUUGUACACACCGCCCGUCACACCAUGAGAGUUUGUAACACCCAAAGUCGGUGGGGUAACCUUUUAGGAACCAGCCGCCUAAGGUGGGACAGA